rnacentral:rRNA from 1 species
CAGAGUUUGAUCCUGGCUCAGAACGAACGCUGGCGGCAGGCCUAACACAUGCAAGUCGAACGCCCCGCAAGGGGAGUGGCAGACGGGUGAGUAACGCGUGGGAACCUACCUUGUGGUACGGAACAACCAAAGGAAACUUAGGCUAAUACCGUAUGAGCCCGAGAGGGGAAAGAUUUAUCGCCAUGAGAUGGGCCCGCGUAGGAUUAGCUAGUUGGUGAGGGAAUGGCUCGCCGGGGAGACGAUCCUUUGCUGCGCUGGUGAGGAGACGUGCUGUCUGUGGUGGUGGGCGAUUUUCUGACCGACGGGACCUGAGAGGGGGUUGAUGUAGGGGCGGUGCGAGGUGGGAGAAGAACAUGUGCAUGAGGGGGAUGCGUGGAUGAGGUUAGAGGGGGGGAAUUUUUAUGAGCGGGGGGGGUGCAGAAGUGGGGUGGGGAGGGCCUGUGUCGGAAGGGCCGCAGAGCAAAGGCUGGUUGAUCUAUAGUUCUUUGUUAGGGCGGGGAGGUAGCUGGGGGGCGUCAGUAGGAAUGCAGGGGGCUGGGCGGAUUGUUUGGAGAAGACUCUGUGAUGGGGUGCCUGGUGUAGGCUGAGGGGGGGGUAGGAGGGUUGAGUAGUGGUGCUGCUAGAUGAUGUGUGGAGAGAAGGGUGGUUGGUGAGCGAACGACUGGGUGGUCAGUGGUUGGUUUGGCAAGCAUCGGUUAACAAUGGGUGAGAUAGGGGCUAGGGAGAGGAUCCGGACGCGGUGAGGAGAGGUGGGAAGUGUGAGACUGAUGGAGGUGUCCGUUGGGGGUAGAUAUGGAUCGU